GAAGUCCACAACUCAGUUCUAAAUGAAGCUGCCUGCUUGCUGCUGAGUGGGGCUACUUCAGUACUCAGAGAAUGUGGAGUUUUAGUACUUAGAUGGGAUGCUCUAGUGCCUUCAGAUGAGCCUUCUGCUGUCACAGUCAAUGGCCAGGAACAGAAUAAGCUCUGGAGGGAGAAGCAACAUGAUCAAAAGGUUUUGUGAGCACUAUAGGGACAUUGUCAACAUAAGGAUAAUUGGUCUGUGCUUUGACUGGUGCACAGUAAUCUUGAAGUCUCUGCAUUGAUGGCAUUCAUUCUAAGGAAAUGAUGAAGAUUGAGACUAAACCUGAUGGAGCAUGCAUAUGAACUGGGUCAUGGUACUUACAAGAAACAAAGGAAGAGGUGGGAUCUGGAAUUCUAAUGGAAGGCUAGAGACAAGAUUGCUUAAACUCAGAAAUCUAUAGGGCAUCAAAGGCAAAGGGACAGGACUGAACAUUUAAAGUAAUUUCAUUAAUAAAGACAAGUGCAGUAGA